GAAAUGCGAUAAGUAGUGUGAAUUGCAGAAUUCAGUGAAUCAUCGAAUCUUUGAACGCACAUUGCGCCCCUUGGUAUUCCAUGGGGCAUGCCUGUUCGAGCGUCAUUUGUACUCUCAAGCUCUGCUUGGUGUUGGGUGUUUGUCCCGCGUUGCGCGUGGACUCGCCUUAAAGCAAUUGGCAGCCGGCAUAUUUGGCCUUGGAGCGCAGCACAUCUUGCGCUUUCAGUCAUACAUGUUGGCGUCCAUUAAGCCUAUACAUUAUACGCUUGACCUCGGAUCAGGUAGAGAUACCCGCUGAACUUAAGC
rnacentral:misc_RNA from 1 species